AUGCCCGAAGUUGCCGUAAAAGAUGUGAACCUGCAGGAGUUCGUCAGAGCCCUGGCAGCCUUCCUCAAAAAGUCCAGGAAGCUGAAAGUUCCCGAAUGGGUGGACACAGCCAAAUUGGCCAAGUAUAAAGAGCUUGCCCCCUAUGAUAAGAACCGGUUCUACACAUGAGCUGCUUCUGCAGCAGGGUACAUGUACCUUCGGGGCAGUGCUGGGGUUGGCUCCGUGACCAAGAUCUACGGGGGACGUCAGAGAAAUGGCAUCAUGCCCAGCCCCUUCAGCGGAGGCUCCAAGAGUGAGGCCCGCCGGGUCCUUCAAGCCCUGGAGGGGCUGAAAACGGUGGAAAAGGACCAAGAUAGGGGCUGCAAACUGACACCUCAGAGACAGAGAGAUCUGGACAGAAUCGCCGGACAGGUGGCAGCUGCCAAAAAGAAGCAUUAGAACAAACGAUGCUGGGUUAAUAAAUUGCCUCAUUCAUAAAAACAAAACAAAACAAAAAACUCACAAAACAA